UACGUAGGGCGCGAGCGUUGUCCGGAAUUAUUGGGCGUAAAGAGCUCGUAGGCGGCCUGUCGCGUCCGCUGUGAAAACCCGGGGCUUAACCCCGGGCCUGCAGUGGGUACGGGCAGACUAGAGUGCGGUAGGGGAGACUGGAAUUCCUGGUGUAGCGGUGAAAUGCGCAGAUAUCAGGAGGAACACCGGUGGCGAAGGCGGGUCUCUGGGCAGUAACUGACGCUGAGGAGCGAAAGCGUGGGGAGCGAACAGG
rnacentral:rRNA from 1 species